rnacentral:rRNA from 1 species
GAUGAACGCUGGCGGCGUGCCUAAUACAUGCAAGUCGAGCGAACAGACGAGGAGCUUGCUCCUCUGACGUUAGCGGCGGACGGGUGAGUAACACGUGGAUAACCUACCUAUAAGUCUGGGAUAAUUUCGGGAAACCGGAGCUAAUACCGGAUAAUAUAUUGAACCGCAUGGUUCAAUAGUGAAAGACGGUUUUGCUGUCACUUAUAGAUGGAUCCGCGCCGCAUUAGCUAGUUGUUAAGGUAACGGCUUACCAAGGCAACGAUGCGUUGCCGACCUGUGAGGGUGAUCGGCCACACUGGAGCUGAGACACGGUCCAGACGCCUACGGGAGGCAGCAGUAGGGAAUCUUCCGCAAUGGGCGAAAGCCUGACGGAGCAACGCCGCGUGAGUGAUGAAGGUCUUCGGAUCGUAAAACUCUGUUAUUAGGGAAGAACAAAUGUGUAAGUAACUAUGCACGUCUUGACGGUACCUAAUCAGAAAGCCACGGCUAACUACGUG